rnacentral:sRNA from 1 species
CAAGAUCAAUCUAACCCAUUUGUCACGGCGGCGAAA